rnacentral:rRNA from 1 species
CCAGACUCCUACGGGAGGCAGCAGUGGGGAAUAUUGCACAAUGGGGGGAACCCUGAUGCAGCGACGCCGCGUGGGUGAAGGAGUAUUUCGGUAUGUAAAGCCCUAUCAGCAGGGAAGAACAAUGACGGUACCUGAAGAAGAAGCCCCGGCUAACUACGUGCCAGCAGCCGCGGUAAUACGUAGGGGGCAAGCGUUAUCCGGAUUUACUGGGUGUAAAGGGGGCGCAGACGGCGAUGCAAGCCAGGAGUGAAAGCCCGGGGCCCAACCCCGGGACUGCUCUUGGAACUGCGUGGCUGGAGUGCAGGAGGGGCAGGCGGAAUUCCUGGUGUAGCGGUGAAAUGCGUAGAUAUCAGGAGGAACACCGGUGGCGAAGGCGGCCUGCUGGACUGCAACUGACGUUGAGGCCCGAAAGCGUGGGGAGCAAACAGGAUUAGAUACCCUCGUAAC